GACGAACGCUGGCGGCGUGCUUAACACAUGCAAGUCGAGCGGAGCGGCGAACGGGUGAGUAACGCGGGAGUAACUGCCCCCCUCUCUGGGAUAAAAGUUGGAAACGGCUGCUAAUACCGGCUAGUGGGGGAUGACUCGCGUCCUAUCAGCUUGUUGGUGGGGUAGUGGCCUACCAAGGCGACGACGGGUAGCCGGCCUGAGAGGUGGACCGGCCACAUUGGGCGACGGUACGGACCAAACGGCUACGGGGGGCAGCAGUGGGGAAUAUGGCACAAUGGGGGAAACCCUGAUGCAGCAGCGCCGCGUGCGGAAUGACGGCCUUCGGGUUGUAAACCGCUUUCAGCCAUGACGCGGUAGUGGCAGAAGAAGCACCGGCUAACUUCGUGCCAGCAGCCGCGGUAAUUC
rnacentral:rRNA from 1 species